GUGUUGUAUUUUCUUCAUGGUAGAUGUCACGUCAAAUAUUGGAGGGCGUAAUUAUCAGCUGAUCAGAAACGUAGUCGUCUUUGUAAAUUCUUGUGUCAUCUUGAGUCAUAAGAGGCCAUUUUGCCGUAGUAACGUUUGACAGCUCUUAAUUUGAUCCGCUGUUUUAUAUCUUGGAUUGUGUGUGUCUAUUUUAUACUACUCUGCAUUCAGAGUGUAUAUCGUAUUGAGUGGAUUGAUACGUGAUCUCGAUUGAGUCACGAUUGUAUAUUGACGUCUCUGGUCAUUGCCCACUCCUAAUUGUGGACCCUGGACACCAGUUGUAUAGUCUAAAUACAGCAUCAUCCUAUUUCACUCGUUGGCCCAAGCUGUCAUUGUCAUUCUUGGUUUCAUUGGUGAUCUGAAACAACAU